GGUUGUGGCUCAGUGGUAAAGUGCUUGCCUUGAAUGUGUGUGGCACUGGGUUCAAUUUUCAGCACCA
rnacentral:tRNA from 1 species